AAUCUUGAGUAAUCGCGGUCUACUUUUGUAGGCUGAGGAAAGUCCAUGCCCGCACAAGCUGCGAUGCUUGUAGUGUUCGUGCUAAGCCCAAUAAGCUUAGGGGCCAGUAAUGGCUACGGCGACUAAAUCCGCUAAGGGCAACUAUGCGGUAGUAGGUCUGAAAAGUGCCACAGUGACGAAACACAAUCGGAAACGGUUGUGGUGGAACGGGUAAACCCCGCGAGCGAGUAACCCAAACUUUGGUAGGGGCGUUUUGCCAUGGGAAUUUGAACCGACGGCAAUACAGCGUAAGCUGAGAUAGAUGAUUACUGAAGGGGACCACGCCUGGUGGAAACUGGAACAAAACAUGGCUUAUAGAG
rfam:Lactobacillus saniviri JCM 17471 = DSM 24301 NODE_5, whole genome shotgun sequence.